rnacentral:rRNA from 1 species
GACGAACGCUGGCGGCGUGCUUAACACAUGCAAGUCGAACGGAAAGGCCCUGCUUUUGUGGGGUGCUCGAGUGGCGAACGGGUGAGUAACACGUGAGUAACCUGCCCUUGACUUUGGGAUAACUUCAGGAAACUGGGGCUAAUACCGGAUAGGAGCUCCUGCUGCAUGGUGGGGGUUGGAAAGUUUCGGCGGUUGGGGAUGGACUCGCGGCUUAUCAGCUUGUUGGUGGGGUAGUGGAUUACCAAGGCUUUGACGGGUAGCCGGCCUGAGAGGGUGACCGGCCACAUUGGGAUUGAGAUACGGCCCAGACUCCUACGGGAGGCAGCAGUGGGGAAUAGUGCACAAUGGGCGGAAGCCUGAUGCAGCAACGCCGCGUGCGGGAUGACGGCCUUCGGGUUGUAAACCGCUUUCGCCUGUGACGAAGCGUGAGGGACGGUAAUGGGUAAAGAAGCACCGGCUAACUACGUG